rnacentral:rRNA from 1 species
GAGUUUGAUCAUGGCUCAGAUUGAACGCUGGCGGCAUGCUUUACACAUGCAAGUCGGACGGCAGCACAAAGAAGCUUGCUUCUUGGGUGGCGAGUGGCGAACGGGUGAGUAACGCAUCGGAACGUACCGAGUAGUGGGGGAUAACUGUCCGAAAGGAUGGCUAAUACCGCAUACGCUUUGAGAAGGAAAGCGGGGGAUCUUCGGACCUCGCGCUAUUCGAGCGGCCGAUGUCUGAUUAGCUAGUUGGUGGGGUAAAGGCCUACCAAGGCGACGAUCAGUAGCGGGUCUGAGAGGAUGAUCCGCCACACUGGGACUGAGACACGGCCCAGACUCCUACGGGAGGCAGCAGUGGGGAAUUUUGGACAAUGGGCGCAAGCCUGAUCCAGCCAUGCCGCGUGUCUGAAGAAGGCCUUCGGGUUGUAAAGGACUUUUGUCAGGGAAGAAAAGCUUUGGGUUAAUAUCCCUGGAGUGAUGACGUACCUGAAGAAUAAGCCCCGGUAA